rnacentral:rRNA from 1 species
CCUCCAAGGCUAAAUACUCCUGACUGACCGAUAGUGAACCAGUACCGUGAGGGAAAGGCGAAAAGAACCCCGGCGAGGGGAGUGAAAAAGAACCUGAAACCGUGUACGUACAAGCAGUGGGAGCCUCUUAAUGGGGUGACUGCGUACCUUUUGUAUAAUGGGUCAGCGACUUAUAUUCUGUAGCAAGGUUAACCGAAUAGGGGAGCCGAAGGGAAACCGAGUCUUAACUGGGCGUUAAGUUGCAGGGUAUAGACCCGAAACCCGGUGAUCUAGCCAUGGGCAGGUUGAAGGUUGGGUAACACUAACUGGAGGACCGAACCGACUAAUGUUGAAAAAUUAGCGGAUGACUUGUGGCUGGGGGUGAAAGGCCAAUCAAACCGGGAGAUAGCUGGUUCUCCCCGAAAGCUAUUUAGGUAGCGCCUCGUGAAUUCAUCUCCGGGGGUAGAGCACUGUUUCGGCAAGGGGGUCAUCCCGACUUACCAACCCGAUGCAAACUGCGAAUACCGGAGAAUGUUAUCACGGGAGACACACGGCGGGUGCUAACGUCCGUCGUGAAGAGGGAAACAACCCAGACCGCCAGCUAAGGUCCCAAAGUCAUGGUUAAGUGGGAAACGAUGUGGGAAGGCCCAGACAGCCAGGAUGUUGGCUUAGAAGCAGCCAUCAUUUAAAGAAAGCGUAAUAGCUCACUGGUCGAGUCGGCCUGCGCGGAAGAUGUAACGGGGCUAAACCAUGCACCGAAGCUGCGGCAGCGACACUAUGUGUUGUUGGGUAGGGGAGCG